rnacentral:rRNA from 1 species
UACGUAGGGUGCAAGCGUUAGUCGGAAUUACUGGGCGUAAAGCGCGCGCAGGCGGUCCUUUAAGUCUGAUGUGAAAGCCCACGGCUCAACCGUGGAGGGUCAUUGGAAACUGGGGGACUUGAGUACAGAAGAGAAGAGUGGAAUUCCACGUGUAGCGGUGAAAUGCGUAGAGAUGUGGAGGAACACCAGUGGCGAAGGCGACUCUUUGGUCUGUAACUGACGCUGAGGCGCGAAAGCGUGGGGAGCAAACAGG